GAUGAACGCUGGCGGCGUGCCUAAUACAUGCAAGUCGAGCGAACAGACGAGGAGCUUGCUCCUCUGACGUGAGCGGCGGACGGGUGAGUAACACGUGGAUAACCUACCUAUAAGACUGGGAUAACUUCGGGAAACCGGAGCUAAUACCGGAUAAUAUAUUGAACCGCAUGGUUCAAUAGUGAAAGACGGUUUUGCUGUCACUUAUAGAUGGAUCCGCGCCGCAUUAGCUAGUUGGUAAGGUAACGGCUUACCAAGGCAACGAUGCGUAGACGACGUGAGAGGGUGAUCGCCCACACUAGAACUGAGACACGGUCCAGACUCCUACGAGAGGCAGCAGUAGGGAAUCUUCCGCAAUGGGCGAAAGCUUGACGGAGCAACGCCGCGUGAGUGAUGAAGGUCUUCGGAUCGUAAAACUCUGUUAUUAGUGAAGAACAAAUGUGUAAGUAACUAUGCACGUCUUGACGGUACCUAAUCAGAAAGCCACGGCUAACUACGUG
rnacentral:rRNA from 1 species